rnacentral:rRNA from 1 species
UACGAAGGGUGCAACCGUUGCUCGGAAUUAUUGGGCGUAAAGCGCACGUAGGCGGCUUAGCAAGUCGGAAGUGAAAUCCCUCGGCUCAACCAAGGAAGUGCUUUCGAAACUGCUGAGCUUGAGUACUUAAGAGGAUCGCGGAAUUCCCGGUGUAGAGGUGAAAUUCGUAGAUAUCGGGAGGAACACCAGUGGCGAAGGCGGCGAUCUGGGAAGAUACUGACGCUGAGGUGCGAAAGCGUGGGGAGCAAACAGG